UACGUAGGGGGCUAGCGUUGUCCGGAAUCAUUGGGCGUAAAGCGCGUGUAGGCGGUCCGGUAAGUCCGCUGUGAAAGUCGAGGGCUCAACCCUCGAAUGCCGGUGGAUACUGUCGGGCUUGAGUACGGGAGAGGCGAGUGGAAUUCCUGGUGUAGCGGUGAAAUGCGUAGAGAUCAUGAGGAAGACCAGUGGCGAAGGCGGGUCUCUGGACAGUUCCUGACACUGAGACACGAAGGCCAGGGGAGCAAACGGG
rnacentral:rRNA from 1 species